rnacentral:rRNA from 1 species
CGGGUGAGUAACGCGUGGGCGACCUGCCUUCGAGUGGGGGAUAACCUUCCGAAAGGAGGGCUAAUACCGCAUGACAUGCUCUGUUUGGAUACAGGGACAUCAAAGCCGGGGAUCGCAAGACCUGGCGCUUGAAGAGGGGCCUACGUCCGAUUAGCUAGUUGGUGAGGUAAUGGCUCACAAAGGCGACGAUCGGUAUCCGGCCUGAGAGGGCGGACGGACACACUGGGACUGAGACACGGCCCAGACUCCUACGGGAGGCAGCAGUAGGGAAUUGUUCGCAAUGGGCGCAAGCCUGACGACGCAACGCCGCGUGGAGGAUGAAGAUCUUCGGGUCGUAAACUCCUUUCGAUCGAGAUGAACACCUGCCGGCCUAAUACGCCGGCAGGCUGACAGUAUCGGGAGAAGAAGCCCCGGCUAACUCCGUGCCAGCAGCCGCGGUAAUACGGGGGGGGCGAGCGUUGUUCGGAAUUACUGGGCGUAAAGGGUUCGUAGGUGGCCAACUAAGUCAGACGUGAAAUCCCUCAGCUCAACUGGGGAACUGCGUCUGAUACUGAUUGGCUUGAGUGCAGGAGAGGAACGCGGAAUUCCAGGUGUAGCGGUGAAAUGCGUAGAUAUCUGGAGGAAC